AAAGUCGUAACAAGGUUUCCGUAGGUGAACCUGCGGAAGGAUCAUUAGUGAAUUUAGCGUUUCUCUUAACAGAGCGCGACCCUCCACUUUCUUAACUCUGUGAACUUUUUUGGUCAAGCAUUGCGUUUUCUCGAUGAACUUUUAUUAGAAAGUCGGGACUACAAGUUUGCUUGACGGCUCAUUUUAAACACUAGUACAAGUAUGUAACGAAAUAUCGAAAUAUAAAAAAACUUUCAACAACGGAUCUCUUGGCUCUC
rnacentral:misc_RNA from 1 species